GCCCGCUUGGCUCAGUGGUAGAGCGUGUCACUAGUACCUUGCAUCUGUCCAGGAUUCAAAGACCAUGACAAGGUCAUCAGUUCGAUUCUGAUAGUGGGCA